CUUCAUCAGACAGUGUCUGAGACCACACUUCUAAAACCUUCCUCUAACUUUAAUCUUGACAGUACGUUUUAUUUCUGUGCAUGAUUUGUUACUUAUUUUCACUUUACAAGAGAACAGAUCUAAGGUUUCAAUACAGGACCUGUACCGACUCAUGCAGAUCUAUGUGGAUUAUGCCUGUUUGUGCACUAGUCAGCCUGUGGUUAUAUGUAGUUGUGUGUUGCUGAGUGCACUGACAGUGUGUUGCUGUGUCUUCACAGUGGAGGGCGCUGUCAGAAAACAAGCGGGAUAAAUAUUAUAAAGAAGCAAAGAGGCUGAAACAGCUUCACAACCAGCUCUACCCGGAUUGGUCAGAAAAGGAAAAUUAUGGCCAAAAGCAGAAAAGGUUCAGAAAGAGUGGCCCCAGGGACGACUGAAGGAAGCAUCUUCCUCACUGCAUGAUGAAUCCAUAGGACACUUCUAACUGAGCAGUUGGAGCCCUCCUCCCCUCACUGUACAUAUUCCCCUGAUGACUCAUCCUCUUUUUAUUACCUUUUAAUGUUCAUAUUUUAUAUCU